UCCUCACAGAACCUCCAAACUCAGAAUUUACACACACUAAUUCUGAGUUUGGAGGUUCUGUGAGGA
rnacentral:miRNA from 1 species